GACGAACGCUGGCGGCGUGCUUAACACAUGCGAGUCGAACGGAAAGGCCCUGCUUUUGUGGGGUGCUCGAGUGGCGAACGGGUGAGUAACACGUGAGUAACCUGCCCUUGACUUUGGGAUAACUUCAGGAAACUGGGGCUAAUACCGGAUAGGAGCUCCUGCUGCAUGGUGGGGGUUGGAAAGUUUCGGCGGUUGGGGAUGGACUCGCGGCUUAUCAGCUUGUUGGUGGGGUAGUGGCUUACCAAGGCUUUGACGGGUAGCCGGCCUGAGAGGGUGACCGGCCACAUUGGGACUGAGAUACGGCCCAGACUCCUACGGGAGGCAGCAGUGGGGAAUAUUGCACAAUGGGCGGAAGCCUGAUGCAACAACGCCGCGUGCGGGAUGACGGCCUUCGGGUUGUAAACCGCUUUCGCCUGUGACGAAGCGUGAGUGACGGUAAUGGGUAAAGAAGCACCGGCUAACUACGUG
rnacentral:rRNA from 1 species